GAGCUCUGCAGAGCUGAGGCACCGGCAGGGGAUUGCCCGCUGCCUGCCCAGCCCCUGGCAUGCAGCGCUCCUGCUUGCCCCGCUGGCAGCGCAGCCGUCCCGCAGCCCCCGGCCCCACGGCCAUGGCGCUCCAUCGCCAAGACGGCCCGGCGGGCUCUGCGCCGGCUCUUCUCCUUCAGCUGCCUCAGGGGACAGCGAGAGGAUUGAGCCCAGAGCCAGAAGCAGAAUGAUGCCAAAUGAUGCCAGCUCCAAAGGGCAGGUCCAGGAGGCAGUGACACCAAUGGGAGACAAACACUGGGUACACCCCAAUGGAUGGAUGCAUGGUGCUCAAGGCAACUAAUUGCCAAAGUGUGCUUGUACAGACACUUGAAGAUUUAAGGACACAUCAAACACUGGGACCAGCAGGAGAUGCACUUCAGGGUGAUGUACAGAGCUGUGGGAGAUGAAGGAGUUGCCCUUUCCUGAGGCAACAAGUUGUCAUUUAGCUGGUCAAGUGCCGGAGCUAACACAUGCAGAGAGUCACUUUCCUCUCCAAUCGCCUGUUUUAAUGAAGAGGGAUGGCAAGACUGUCACCAUAAUAGGAAACAGAUAAACCAAAGCUGGAGAGGAAAGCUAAAUGUGCUCAAAUGUCUGUGAGGUCCUGGCUCCAAGGACAGCCACGUACAAGGACGUAUCCACAGUGAGUGACACAGGAGAGUAUUUGUCCAGCAGAAGAACAGAAAAGUCUACAGAAAAUCAGGUGGCCACAUCACAUCAGCACAACUCUGGAAACAUUCCUCAGGAAAGCCUAGAGAUGAGAGGUGAUGGCAGAGCUCUUGUUCCAGCACAAGCCAUGAAUUUGUGGCAGAAAUUUCCAACUGAGGAGAUGUUCCCAGCACCCCAGGAUCAUUCAGUUCUAACCCCCUGCCAUUGGCAGGGACACCUUCCACUAAACCCAGUUGUUCAAAGCCCCAUCCAGCCUGGCAUUGAACACUUCCAGAGUUGCAGCAUCCACAUUUCUGGGCAAUCUGUUCCAGUGCCUCACGUCCCUCACAAGGGAAAAAUUCUUCCUAAUAUUCUAAUCUAA
rnacentral:lncRNA from 1 species